UCCCUGGUGGCUCAGACGGUAAAGCAUCUGCCUGCAAAGUGGGAGACCUGGGUUCGAUCCCUGGGUUGGGAA
rnacentral:tRNA from 1 species